UUUGUCAAAAUAUUUUAGAAUUCUAUUUCCACGAGUUUUACUUUUAUACGAAAAAUAAAAAUACUGUUUCCUAAAACAAAUUUAGUAUUGUCAAAUUGUGUGGUAUUUUUUUUUAGAUAUAACGAUGCGUUUAUAUACAUUUCUAUUGUUGUUUCUCAUCGGAAGUGUUUUCAAAGAAAAUGCUGCUGAGGAUACAUCAAAACAAAUCCAUGAUUUAUUUACUUCGAUUCGAGACACUCUUCAAUCUUCGGUAAUUGAAUCGGAAACCUUAAAACCUUCAUUAAAACAACCAGAUACGGAGCCUAUUACGAGCGAUAU